UAGCUGGGAUUACAGGCAUGCACCCCAUACCAGCUAAUUUUUGUAUAUAUAUAUAAAUUUUUUUUUAAGUAGAGACAGGGUUUCACAAUGUUGCCCAGUCUGGUCUCGAACUCCUGGCCUCAAAUUAUCCAACUGCCUUGGCCUCCCUAAGUGUUGGGAUUACAAGAGUGAGCCACUGAGCCCGGCCCCACUUUGUACAUGAACCAGAAGAGCAGUCACUCUGAAAGACACCUAAGUCAUAGCCACAUCUCUAGGGAAUUUUCAACACGAAACUCUCUAUAGAAGGCAAGUUGGAAAGCUAGCUUGGCAGGUGUAUUGUCAAAAAUUAUUGAACCGCUAAAUGGAGAUGGUUACCAGCACAUUACAGAAGACUCAAUGUACAACGUAUGGCUUCAUGUUGGUCCAAAAUUCUAACUAUAUCAGUCAAGAAAAGGAUGAAAUCUCAAGUAUGGAUGUGACACUUUAUACCUGCCAUACAUAGAAUGUUCAAUCCGUAUGACCUUACUUGAUGUAGAAUUAAAGGAAAAGUUACCAAGAAUGAGAUCUGAGAGCUUAGCAAGUCCUCCUAAGCUAUAGCCAUGAUAACUCAUCAUACAAGGAAAAUAAGUGAAUUCAAAGAACCAAAAGCAGCUGCCAUUAGAUUACAGGGAACUUUCAAACAAAAGAUAUAUCAUAGGAAGUCAGGUGAGAAGCUGUCAACUGGGCAGGCAGUGAUGAGAAUCGUAGUUGUCUUACUGUACUUUUUUGUUUUGUUCAAAAAACCUAAAGCAUCACGCAUUUUGAAAGCAGAGUUUGCAGAGAGCCCCCAACAGAGCCAGAACUUGCCAAGAGCGACUGAUAUUUCUAGAAUCUGGCUCUUAAAAUAAUAAGGCUGGAGGAGACAUGAACACCAUGGGAAAGUGUAUUCAGCCCCACUCCUAUGUGAAUGUAGCUUCAGAGCAAGUUACCUUCAACGAGGAGCAGCACAUCCUGUAAACAGAUACCGUGUCUCUUGGGUACUUACGUGCAAAUAGACAUAUCAGCUUUUCCCUAAUGCAGGCAGUCUCUUGGGGAUAGUUUUGUAACAUGUAAAAAUAGAUAUAAUUUGAAACCAUAGUCCUAAAAGUAAGGUAUUUUAGUUGCAGGAGGAGAAGAGAGAAGACAAAAGUAACCUAUUGCAAGUGGCUGUACGUUCCAUAGAAGUAGUUGUAUACCUCAGUGUUUCCCACUGAAAGUAGCUGUAACAAUUCAUGCUUUAAUUCAUUAAUCGAUAAUUUAAUCUCUGGCUCUGGAAAGUGGAAAAAGUCUGUGAAAGCUGGUCCUACUUAAAUGGAGAUUUGGAGUUUUCGUUUGUCCCGGAUUAGUCAAGAUACAAGUAGAAAUCCUUACACCUGCCAAUACCCACAAAGGCAUCUAUGUUUUCACACAGGCCCCUCUAAUUACAUAUCAGCAGUUAAGAGGUUUCUCCCCUUUCUAGCCACUUCUAAGAUGCUAAUGAUCCUGGGAGUUUUAGCCUUUUGUUGCCUGCUGCUGCGGUGUUUGAACCAUUCCAGUAAGCCAGCAACUUUGCAGGGACAAGGACAGAGCCUUUCCCAUCUCCAAACUGUGUCACACAGGGCAUCAGUGGUCAUCUUCCUGUAUCAACUGCUCACAGCCUGUGCCCACUCAGCUCAGAAACAAUG
ensembl:lncRNA novel transcript, antisense to C1QL3